CCUUGUCCUCAAUUUUAAUUGUAGCCCCUGCCACACAUAAGACACAAUGAUUCAAGGUGGAAAACGGAAAUCAAUGUGGGGUUUGAAAUUUGAGUUGAAUCCUGCCUCAUGCCCUCUGAGAGUUGGAUACUUGGUAACUUCUCUGAGUUCCAGGUUCUCCAUCUGCAACAUGGGCAUAAUCUCUGGCAUUUAGUAGGCAGACACAAAGAAUAAAACCUGCUCACAGAGCCGAAUAGAUCCCAGAGUAUUAGAACACCUUAAUAAAUGCCAAAAAUAGGAACAUUCUCGUUGAAGUUAACCCAGAUGAAUCUAGCCUAAUGUUCCUGCUAUCAAGCUAGGUUGCUACUUCCUGUCUUUUCUUGUCAUUAACAAUGAUCAGCAUUUUGCUCAUUAAUUUUCUUACUUUACAUCAAAUUCUAUGGUUCUGACUGGAAUUUUUUCAUUCUUGCUGCCGUUCUGAGUAUGUAAUUAUAAUAAAAAAUAAACUUUAUUAUUAAAAAGUAUAUAUCUGCCCCGUACUCAUCCCCCAAAAAGACUCCCAUAAAGAACAAGUGGACCAAAAUAUAGGUACAUAGGUCUGCUUCAUCUGAUACCUAAAGAUAAGCUGUAUGUGGCCCUGUGAAGAGAUUCCAUUUGUCAGGUAGAAAUAGCCACUCACUGCCCACUCCAAACGAUACAGUCUCCCAACACUCAGAUCAAAUGGGGAGAUGCAUUAGCAUCAUCUUCAAAAGCAAGCCAAGGGAUGACCUUCUCUCCUCAGACUCAGUCAUCUGAGGCUGUGAGGACAGCUGGUCUUGCCUCCACCGGACUGUCCCCUGCAGCCAUCAUAAAGUCUGGGA